UGGGGGUGUCGCAUAGUGGCAAUUGCAAUGGACUGUAAAUCCAUCUCCUUUACAGGAUCCGUCAGUUCGAGUCUGACCGCCCCCAA
rnacentral:tRNA from 1 species